rnacentral:rRNA from 1 species
CACGUAGGGUGCGAGCGUUGUCCGGAAUUAUUGGGCGUAAAGAGCUCGUAGGCGGUGUGUCGCGUCGGCCGUGAAAACCUGCAGCUUAACUGUGGGCUUGCGGUCGAUACGGGCAUCACUGGAGUUCGGCAGGGGAGACUGGAAUUCCUGGUGUAGCGGUGAAAUGCGCAGAUAUCGGGAGGAACACCGGUGGCGAAGGCGGGACUCUGGGCCGAUACUGACGCUGAGGAGCGAAAGCGUGGGGAGCAAACAGG